AGAGCGAACGCUGGCGGCAGGCCUAACACAUGCAAGUCGAACGGAUCCUUCGGGAUCAGUGGCGGACGGGUGAGUAACACGUGGGAACGUGCCCUUUGGUUCGGAACAACACAGGGAAACUUGUGCUAAAUACCGGAUGUGCCCUUCGGGGGAAAGAUUUAUCGCCAUUGGAGCGGCCCGCGUCUGAUUAGCUAGUUGGUGAGGUAAAGGCUCACCAAGGCUUCGAUCAGUAGCUGGUCUGAGAGGAUGAUCAGCCACACUGGGACUGAGACACGGCCCAGACUCCUACGGGAGGCAGCAGUGGGAAUCUUGCGCAAUGGGCGAAAGCCUGACGCAGCCAUGCCGCGUGGAUGAUGAAGGUCUUAGGAUUGUAAAAUCCUUUCAGCGGGGACGAUAAUGACGGUACCCGCGAGAAGAAGCCCCGGCUAACUUCGCGCCAGCAGCCGC
rnacentral:rRNA from 1 species